CCUAAGUUUAAUUCUUAACAGAAUUAACAGAAAUCUUUUUUCUUAACAGAAAAACUGUCAAGAAUUACGUUCUGAAAGUCUCACAGCUGCAUGCACCCAUCUGCAGGAGUGCUUCAGGGAACUAUGGCAUCAGGAGGCAGUAUGGACAACAUGGUGGCCAAUCUCCUAUGGUACACCCUCGAGCAUCUAGGGAUGUGUGCCUUCUCAAAAUCCAAGAGGGACCUCAGGAGGAUCCAGCCCAAAGAUGGGUACAAACACUGAGCUGGAGAGCAAGGUGGGGCUGUCAGCAGCUGCACUGGCCAGCCUACUGUACAGCCACUAUGGGCAGCCCCACAGCAUGGAGGUGUCAGCACACAUAGUGAAGAGCAUGGGCUGGAUGUGCCGGGAUGAUAUGCUCCUGGAGAAGCUGAAGAAAGAUCCCCUGGUACCAGGUGACAUCCCAUCUCCUUGCCCUACAGAAGCACAAGAUGAGUUCUGGGCUGCUCGACACUCAUACCCUUUGCUGAACGAUGUCAUGCUCUCCACGUCCCUUCCUGUCCCUCUAGAUUCCGUACGCGGAGCACCGCCGGCAACUCCGACCACCACGCAGCCCGACGGAGCGGCAGCGCAGAGCCGCCACAGCAACCAGGCGCCACUUCCGCUCUUCUCAGCGCAUGCGCAGUACGACCAGG
ensembl:lncRNA